GGGAAACCAAACGAUAUUGCAUUAGAUGAUCACGUCAAAGGUAUGCAACAGUGUCAUGUGUGUAGAAACUAUGCAGCCGGUCAGUAUUAUGCACAGUGUCCCUUAAAUUCUAAGGUGAUUGCACAAGGUACGUGGAAAGAAAAUUGUACAGGAGCUUGUUUUACAAGAACAGAUGAUAUCGAUGAAAAAUUGGUCUAUAGAGGAUGUAUGGAUUCACAAUGGGGAUUACCCAAACCCCUUCCGCCUGAUGGAUGUUAUACAUAUUAUCUGGAAGUUUGGUGUAUAUGUCAUGGGAAUCUUUGUAACGGUGACGGUAUAGGAAUACCAACUGUAGAAUUUGAUGCACAUAUAAAGAAUGGAACAGGAACA